UCCCGCGUGGCGCAAUUGGCUAGCGCGUUUGGCUGUUAACGGUCGCAAGUUCGAUUCUGAGUAUCAACAAUAAUCCUGUUGUUAUCCUCAGCCGAACUUUUUCUUUUUGAAAGUAAAAACAAAGAAGGAAAACUUUUAUGAACGAAACAACAGGAGGUUGGAAGUUCGAGCCUUCCCGCGGGAG